rnacentral:lncRNA from 12 species
UUCCCGCGAGAUAUAAUCUAGUAGGCUACGCUGACCUGGGUUAAGAAUUCCUCAAAUAUAAAUGGUCUAAAUGUUACUUUACUUGGCAAAACAAAGGCAGAGUAAGUAAUUUUUCCAAAUCUCUCUUCAGACACGCCAUAUAAGGAAGGUUUUCCUUCUAGGGGGAUUUGGACUCUCAUUAAUCUAUUUCUCCUUUCAACAAUAAAAUGAAAAAUGGAAUGAGAUUAUCAAAAUGGAUAGUCUGGUGUGGACCCGAUAACAUGCUUUUGAAAAGUGGUUUACAUUUGACAUCAGUUAAGCUCCCCGGGCCAGCACAUCUCAGGUCGGCUACGUGGGGCCUGGAUCCACUCCCUGCUUGGACACAAAUACGCUUUAUGGGUUUCAAGCGCCUCUGCAGCCAGUUGGAAGGAUGGAUGGACUCCUAGUGCGGGGAGUAUUAAGUCAUCGGCAGGACUAUAAAUAUCCCUGCUCCUAUCUUAUUCAGCAUUUAUACAAAGACAGUUUUGUGCAGUACGACUUCUUUUUUCCUGGAGUCUGUAUGUAUUUCAAGUUGCUCGUCUCUUUAUCACGGAUACAUUUUUGUAUGUGCGGCACGACACACGCGAAGCAUAAGGGGCUGGGCUCUCAGCAGGGCCAUCGGAAGUGAGAAGGACCCAGCCUUAGAGUGUGGAUUUAGGUCCUGAGAAAGUGGACCGUGACUCUGGCUAAUGGCCCAGGCUUUGGGUUCCACUGUCACUCUCUUCCCCGAAGGAGGCAUUUCACUGAGUCAUGAGAGUGGGCUGAAUGUCCUACUUCCCGGAAUGAUCUUACGAGGCAGAUGACUGCAUGUGGCAUGUUAAAAAAAAAGAAAAGCAAGCCUAAAUUGGAGUCAUUUGCCCCCCGCGACAGCAAACCAAGACUUAUCUACAGUUCCAACUGAUCCCAGGAAUGUGACCUGUAACAUAAAUCAAUCUGAAAUUUCUUGAUCGGCACUAAUGAAGUCAUCUGCAUGAUAACAAAAAAAACUCUACUGCACCCCCACCCCCACCCCCCACCCAAAGAA